rnacentral:misc_RNA from 1 species
AAAUCCCAUCUGUUUUUAUUUUUUAUUUUUUUUCAGGAAAACCUCACUAGUUUUGUGAAUAUGAUCAGAUGUACACUAUAUAUAUUUAAUAAUUUUCCUUUUCGGCAUGCGUAAAAUUGCCUCUACUUCAAAAGCAUGAGCAUCAGUAACUUCAUGCUUAUCUGGUUCUGCAUAAUUAUUUUCACCAUGGCGGAACCGGAUUGAUCAAGCAUGGAGAGACCACCAACUUCCAGCAACCAUAUAGAAAAUUUUUCCAAUCACAUACAUAAUCCCAUUUGUUUAGAAUUCUUUUUAUCAGCUAGGCAAGUUGACUCGUCCAGUACCAUCCUGAUCUUUUUGCUGGAUUCACUUGUCCAACUACUGUCACUUUCCUGAAUCUACUUAUUUAUUACACCCUUUCAGUAGGGGGAUUCGGGCUUCUUAGAUGACUAUUCUGACUAGAUGAAGAGUCAAAGAACACUACUGAAUUUCAUUUUUCAUGUGAGAUUUUUCAAGUCUGACAGCUUUUUCAUGCUAUAUUCGACUACAUUCAACUACCAGCGCCUACUGUUCUACUUGUUACUUGUCAAAUGACUUGCACGAAAAAAUAUAAAUGAAAGGAAUAACAUAAAAAAACUUAAAAAAAAUAAAGGGGACAACGGGGGGAAAUUGCAAAAACAGCUGAUUAUGUGACUAAAAGUGAACCUCUACUUUCUUUUUUUUCUUUUCUUUUUUGUCACCUUAAUUCCUUUCAUGGAUAGGGUGGGAGAGGGAUUAGACUCCAGCCACUUCACCGGUAGCUCCGGUAGGCAGGGCUGUACAUACAG